rnacentral:rRNA from 1 species
CCUACGGGAGGCAGCAGUGGGGAAUAUUGGACAAUGGGCGAAAGCCUGAUCCAGCCAUGCCGCGUGUGUGAAGAAGGCCUUCGGGUUGUAAAGCACUUUCAGUGGGGAAGAAAGCCUUGGGGCUAAUACCCUCGAGGAAGGACAUCACCCACAGAAGAAGCACCGGCUAACUCCGUGCCAGCAGCCGCGGUAAUACGGAGGGUGCGAGCGUUAAUCGGAAUUACUGGGCGUAAAGCGCGCGUAGGCGGUCUGAUAAGCCGGUUGUGAAAGCCCCGGGCUCAACCUGGGAACGGCAUCCGGAACGGUCAGGCUAGAGUGCAGGAGAGGAAGGUAGAAUUCCCGGUGUAGCGGUGAAAUGCGUAGAGAUCGGGAGGAAUACCAGUGGCGAAGGCGGCCUUCUGGACUGACACUGACGCUGAGGUGCGAAAGCGUGGGUAGCAAACAGGAUUAGAUACCCGAGUAGUC